rnacentral:rRNA from 1 species
CCCCUAGAUGUUCUGGGCCGCACGCGCGCUACACUGAACAGUUCAACAAGUCUUAACCUUGGCCGAUAGGUCUGGGUAAUCUUUGAACGCUGUUCGUGCUUGGGAUAGACCUUUGCAAUUAUGGGUCUUCAACGAGGAAUUCCUAGUAAACGCAAGUCAUCAGCUUGCAUUGAUUACGUCCCUGCCCUUUGUACACACCGCCCGUCGCACCUACCGAUUGAAUGGUCCGGUGAAAUCUCGGGACGGCGGCUCGGUCGCUUGCGUCCGACUGCUGAAACUUGAUUAAACCAUAUCAUUUAGAGGAAGGUGAAGUCGUAACA